GCAUUAAUGGGGUAGUGGUAACCUGGGUCGUUGCCACAUUCGAGGACAUGUUGCUCGACCCGCCGGGGGUUCGAUUCCCUCUUAAUGCA